rnacentral:rRNA from 1 species
UACAGAGGUCCCAAGCGUUGUUCGGAUUCAUUGGGCGUAAAGGGUGCGUAGGUGGCGCCGUAAGUCGGGUGUGAAAUUUCGGAGCUUAACUCCGAAACUGCAUUCGAUACUGCGGUGCUUGAGGACUGGAGAGGAGACUGGAAUUCAUGGUGUAGCAGUGAAAUGCGUAGAGAUCAUGAGGAAGACCAGUGGCGAAGGCGGGUCUCUGGACAGUUCCUGACACUGAGGCACGAAGGCCAGGGGAGCAAACGGGG